UACGGGGGGAGCAAGCGUUGUUCGGAUUUACUGGGCGUAAAGGGCGCGUAGGCGGUCGUGACAAGUCACUUGUGAAAUCUCCGGGCUUAACUCGGAACGGUCAAGUGAUACUGUCGGACUAGAGUACAGAAGGGGCAACUGGAAUUCUCGGUGUAGCGGUGAAAUGCGUAGAUAUCGAGAGGAACACCUGCGGCGAAGGCGGGUUGCUGGGCUGAUACUGACGCUGAGGCGCGAAAGCCAGGGGAGUGAACGGG
rnacentral:rRNA from 1 species